GUACUCCCAAAUUACAUAUACUAAAAUUGGAACGAUACAGAGAAGAUUAGCAGGGCCCUGCGGAAGGAUGACAAUCAAAAUCGUGAAGCGUUCCACAUUUUU
rnacentral:snRNA from 1 species